rnacentral:snRNA from 1 species
GUACUUGCUUUUGCAGUACAUAUACUAAAAUUGGAAGGAUACAGAGAAGAUUAGCAUUGUUCCUGUGUAAGGAUGACACGCAAAAUCGUGAAGCGUUCCACAUUUUU